rnacentral:rRNA from 1 species
CGGACGUGGGUAACCUGCCUCAUACAGGGGGAUAACAGUUAGAAAUGGCUGCUAAUACCGCAUAAGCGCACAGCUUCGCAUGGAGCAGUGCGAAAAACUCCGGUGGUAUGAGAUGGACCCGCGUCUGAUUAGCUGGUUGGUGAGGUAACGGCUCACCAAGGCGACGAUCAGUAGCCGGCUUGAGAGAGUGAACGGCCACACUGGAACUGAGACACGGUCCAGACUCCUACGGGAGGCAGCAUG